rnacentral:tRNA from 1 species
GAGAGAGUGGCUCAACAGUGAAGAGCACUGGGCUGUUCUUCCAGGGGAUCCAGGUUCAAAUCCCAGCAUUUUCA